AACACUCAUAUAUGAUUCAAAAACAAACAAACAAAAACAAAAAAAGUAUAAAAAGGUGCCUAGGCCCAAAAGGCUGCCAUAGAAACACUGCGACUCAUGGGCCCUGAUCCCCUCUGCUGGGCCUCAGGGAUAAAUUUGGUUACAGACACCA
rfam:Myotis brandtii contig261961, whole genome shotgun sequence.